rnacentral:rRNA from 1 species
AGAUUGAACGCUGGCGGCAUGCCUAACACAUGCAAGUCGAACGGGAGUAGCAAUACUCUAGUGGCGGACGGGUGAGGAAUACGUAGGAAUUUGCCCUUAAGUGGGGGAUAACCCGGGGAAACCCGGAUUAAUACCGCAUGACCUCGAAAGAGCAAAGUGGGGGAUCGCAAGACCUCACGCUUUUGGAGAAGCCUACGUCGGAUUAGCUAGUUGGUGAGGUAAUGGCUCACCAAGGCGACGAUCCGUAACUGGUCUGAGAGGAUGAUCAGUCACACCGGAACUGAGACACGGUCCGGACUCCUACGGGAGCAGCAGUGGGAAUAUUGGACAAUGGGCGCAAGCCUGACUCCAGCAAUACCGCGUGUGUGAAGAAGGUCCUUAGGUUGUAAAGUCUAACGUUUAAGGUUGGGAAA